rnacentral:misc_RNA from 1 species
GAGGUUUUGCAUUGACUAUAGAAAACUUAAUUACCUCACUAUUAAAGAUAAAUUUCCAAUCCCAAUUAUAGAUGAUUUACUAGAUGAGCUUCAUGGGGCUUUAAUUUUCUCUAAAAUUGAUUUGAAAGCAGGUAACCAUCAAAUCCGGAUGAAUCCUCAAGGUGUCCAUAGGACAGCUUUUGGGACACAUCAUGGGCACUAUGAAUUUACUGUUAUGCCCCCUUUGGAUUAACUAAUGCACCUGUAACUUUCCAGGAACUCAUGAAUCAUAUCUUCCAACCUUAUUUGAGGAAGUUUGUGCUAGUGUUCUUUGAUGAUAUUUUGAUAUAUAGCUCAUCUUGGGAACAACACUUGCAGCAUUUGGAGCAAGUUUUUCAAAUUUUGAAGCAACAACAGUUAUAUGCCAAGCUUAGUAAGUGCUUCUUUGGCAAAUAUGAAAUUGACUAUUUGGGGCAUGUUAUAUCUGGCAAGGGUGUAGCUACUGACUCCUCUAAGAUUCAAGCAGUUUUGAAAUGGCCAAUUCCCAAAUCUGUCAAGGAACUUAGAAGCUUCCGGGGAUUAACAGGAUAUUACAUAAAAUUUGUUCAGAAUUAUGGCCUCAUCAGUAAGCCAUUAACUGAUAUGUUAAAGAAAGACAAUUUUCUGUGGACUGUAGCAACUCAGCAGGCUUUCGACCAUCUCAGGUCAACCAUGUCUCAGGCUCCUAAAUUUAAUAAGACCUUCAUUAUAGAGACUGAUGCAAGUGGCAGUGGUAUGGGGGCUGUGUUACAGCAGGAGUGACAUCCCAUAGCUUUCAUUUUUAAAGCUUUUGGUCCUAGAACCAAAGCCUUGUCAGUUUAUGAAAGAGAGCUGUUAGCCAUCACCUUUGCUGUUACAAAAUGGAGACACUAUUUAGAGCAAGGGCCUUUUUACUUCAAACUAACCAUGAAAGUAUCGAACAUUUGCUUGAGCAAAGGUUGCACACCAAUUUACAACUUAGGGAAGUAUCUAUGUUGUUGGGAUUGCAAUAUAAAAUUCUAUAUAGAAGAGGAGUAGAUAAUAAGGUUGCUGAUGCUUUGUCUUGAAGGCCUGCAGAUUCUGCUAGUCAUCGGUAUGCCAUUCACUCUUCUUUACAACCAACUUGGAUGGUUCAUUUGUUGAAUAAUUAUGAAGGGGAUGCUAAAGUUACUGAAUUAAUUGCUCAAUUAUCAUUGGAUGAGAAGGCUCAGCCUGGAUUUUCUUACAAGAAUGGGCUAUUAUUUCAUAAGGGCAGGCUGUAUGUGGGUAGUAAUGGGCAUUUGAGGGCACCUUUAUUAGCUCUCUACCACAAUUCUCAUUUAGGGGGGCAUUCUGGAAUCAAUUCUACUUCUAUCAGAUUAAGUAGGCAUUUCUAUUGACCUGGCAUUUUUAAAGCAGUAGUGGAGUGGGUUAAAAGUUGUAAUACAUGACCAGGUGUGAAGCAGAAACUUGUGCUUCCCCUGGUUUGUUGCAGCCACUACCUGUUCCUACUCAGGCUUGGCAACAUUUUACAAUGGAUUUUGUGGAACAAUUGCCUAAAUCUCAGGGCAAAGAUACCAUUUUGGUGGUCAUCUGCAGGUUCACAAAAUAUGCUCAUUUCAUUGCCUUGCAUAUUACCACUGACAGAUAAAAUUUUCACUAGUCUAUUUUGGAAAGAAAUGUUCAAGUUGAUGGGAACUAAGCUUGCUUUUAUAGUUCAGUCUAUCACUCCCAAUCAGAUGGCCAAUCUGAGAGAUUGAAUCAAAGCCUUGAGGGUUAUUUGAGAUGUCUUUGUUAUCAAGCACCACAUUCUUGGUUUAAGUGGCUUGCUUUGGCAGAAUGGUGGUACAACACCAGCCAUCAUAGUGCUUUAAAGAUGACUCCAUUUGAAGCAUUGUAUGGUUACAAGCCUCCUCCUUUGACCUUUCUGCCCAUUCCUAAUACCUCGGUGCAGUAGCUGACUUUAUUCAAGAUAGAUAGCAUAUGUCCCAAGUCAUUAAGGAUAAUUUGCUAGUAGCUCAAAACAGAAUGAAGCAACAUGGUGACAAAAAGAGUUUUUGAAGUAGGAGACUGGGUUUAUCUCAAAUUACAGCCAUACCGAGAGACUUCAGUAGCCGUUAGGAAGAAUCUCCAGUUAGCAGCAAGGUUCUAUGGACUUUAUCAAGUUGAAGCAAAGAUAGGUUCAGUGGCUUAUAAAUUGAAGUUGCCUUCUCAUGCUACCAUUCACUGUGUUUCAUGUCUCUCUCUUGAAGAAGAAGGUUGGGGAAGGUGCGGUGGUUAUGCAGGACUUGCCUAAUUUUCAUGGGACACCGUGGUAGUAGCUCCAGACAAGGUACUGAAGACCAGAAUUAUUACUAGGCAGAACCAACAAGUCCUUCAAGGGCUUAUUAAGUGGCUUUGUCUGCCUGAAGAAGAGGCUACUUGGGAGGAUCAGACCUUCAUCACCUCUCAGUUUCCUGAAUUUACAUCUACUUAUAGGAGGAAGAGGAAUAGGUAGUUA